UGAAGAAAGAAAAUAUUACCUCCGUAUCAAAAUGUUAACUACUUUUUUGCUACCAAUGUGAGAAUCAUCAACCAACUCAACCUCAAGGCAGAUUUCAAUAAUUUUUUUGCAGAAGUCCACAAAUUUCUAAGUUCGUAAUUUGUUGCAACGCGACUCGGCAGCCAACUCAAACAUAACUACGUUUGCUAAAAACCUCGACCCAGCAGCCGAGUGCACUCGGCCCACCGUUGGUCACGACGUACGUGAUCACUCGGCGCCACGACGCCGCUUGCCGGCCCCCGCUCCCUUCCCG
rnacentral:lncRNA from 1 species